UCCGUCGCAGGUCCCGCCCUAGCCCCGACUAUGGCCGAGCUCGCAGCCCAGUCUAUGAUCGUUACAAUGGACCUGCCUCAUAUGAGAGGGAGCCGAGUCCUGGUUAUGGUCGCUACCGAAGCCGAUCACCUGUUCGAAGGUCCAGGACUUGAAGCACGUGCAGGGGGAUGAUGGGAUAUGAAGUUUAGGCUUCGACAUAAGGACCUUUGGCCUGUGUUUUUAGGUUGUAGAAGGGCAAAGACUUCCAGAAAAACUCCUAGUGACGUGUUUGGGUAUGCCAUGUAGAAUUAUUUUUAUUUGAAGAACAUUUUUUUACUUUUGCUUGUAUGGUAGGUAAUCUUUUUCAGCGACUAGUUUUUAUGCACGUGUAAUGCAUGUGGUUAAAUGUCAAAAGAUUUAUGGACUAAUAUUAAAAAAGGCCCUAUUAUAUCUACUCAA